rnacentral:rRNA from 1 species
AGCAGCCGCGGUAAUUCCAGCUCCAAUAGCGUAUAUUAAAGUUGUUGCAGUUAAAAAGCUCGUAGUUGAAUUUCGGGAUCAGUACGCUGGUCGUGCCUUUGGUAUGUACUGGUGUCACUGAUUCCUCCCUUCUGAAGAACCGUUAUGCCAUUUAUUUGGUGUGGCGGGGAAUCAGGACUGUUACUUUGAAAAAUUAGAGUGUUUAAAGCAGGCUCGCGCUUGAAUACAUUAGCAUGGAAUAAUGAAAUAGGACGUUUGAUCUUAUUUUGUUGGUUUCUAGGAUCGACGUAAUGAUUAAUAGGGAUAGUUGGGGGCAUUAGUAUUCAAUUGUCAGAGGUGAAAUUCUUGGAUUUAUUGAAGACUAACUACUGCGAAAGCAUUUGCCAAGGAUGUUUUCAUUAAUCAAGAACGAAAGUUAGGGGAUCGAAGACGAUCAGAUACCGUCGUAGUCUUAACCAUAAACUAUGCCGACUAGGGAUCGGAUGAUGUUAUUUUUAAUGACUCAUUCGGCGUACCCG